ACAACAGGCGUACCACAAUAGCAGUGAAUAACUUAAAUAUCCCAGUGCUGUACUUUCUUCCAAUAGUUGCCAUCUUCAACCUUAUUCCCUUGUAAUAGAGGUGUCAACUAUUAGUUAGGCUGUCAAAUACUGUCUUUUACCAUCAUGAACCCUAAACAUUUAUUGGGAAUAUUUGUUGUUCUUCAACUCGUUGUUAAUGUGUUCGCUUUUAUUAAUGAAUAUUUCUACGAGUUUGGUAACAAGGAAGUCGGUAAACAAAUUUACACAAAGGAUGGUCUAAUUCAUUUGUUUCAAUAUAACAAUUAUGUUGACGUACCCGUUCCACCCAAUACGGAGGUCACCUAUGUUUCAGUGAGAGUAAAUGCUAUCAAUCCCCCGAAAGUGGAUUUCGACAACGAGAGCAAAACCCUGAGUAUAAAGUUCUCAUUCUUGGAACUACCUAUUAGUUCAUACUCGCUUUUCGUCAAAGGAACACCUACUGCAGGAUGAAUACGAAUUAAAUGUAUACGAAUUAUACGAUCAUUGUCUUCAUUU